GGAGAGUCUCCAUCCAGCUGGAUCACUGUCACAGGUAAACCUACAACCACAGUAAUGCCAUUCACCUCGGGACCACACCCUGAUCUCCCCUCCCUCAAGCUUGGGUUCAGAGUGGUCCUCCACCUGGUGGUGUUCUGUCCAUACCUUAUUUCCACUGUCCUCAUGGUGUCUUUAUAUCUACACAGAGCCAGAGGAAAUGACCUUUGUGCAUCCAACCUGGCCACUCAACCUGAACAGGGAUUGGAUGAUGAGUAUGAUGAUGUCAUCACUGAUGUCACUACAAAGCAUCACUUCUAAAUCAGAGCUCUGUUGUGUCUUUGAGCAUUUCACUAUUGCCUCAGUUAUUCUUCUGUGGGAAAUCUAUGAUGUAAACAUCCACAUGACCUCUUGAGAAAUGUAACUACACACACAGCCUGCAAUGACUUGAAUAGCGUGGAAGAUUGUGUUAUGGGGAUAAUGGGAGUUUCCAGUGACUAGGAUGUCGAGUUCCCGCAGACUUUUAUAUCAAGUUUAACUUUGUCAGCCUGUCACCUCUUUUGUGGAGACGAUUUGAAUAAAUGGUGUUCAUCUAGAACUGCUUUUAUGUAGAUUUAUGUAGACUAGAUUCUAUGAUUAUGAUAUGAUUCUAUGAUAGAUUUUAUGUAUAUUCCUGCUUUGAUAAACUACAAACAUAUAAAUAUGUGAGUUAAACUAGACAUCUUAAUCAUUUCUUGGUUUUGAUUCUGGUUCCUUAAUCAGCUCAAAUCCCACAGAGCUUGAAAAUACAAAGUGGAAUUUGAAAGGUCUUUGA